AGGACGAACGCUGGCGGCGUGCUUAACACAUGCAAGUCGAGCGGUAAGGCCUUUCGGGGUACACGAGCGGCGAACGGGUGAGUAACACGUGGGUGAUCUGCCCUGCACUUCGGGAUAAGCCUGGGAAACUGGGUCUAAUACCGGAUAUGACCUCCUAUCGCAUGGUGGGUGGUGGAAAGAUUUAUCGGUGCAGGAUGGGCCCGCGGCCCAUCAGCUUGUUGGUGGGGUAAUGGCCUACCAAGGCGACGACGGGUAGCCGACCUGAGAGGGUGACCGGCCACACUGGGACUGAGACACGGCCCAGACUCCUACGGGAGGCAGCAGUGGGGAAUACUGCACAAUGGGCGAAAGCCUGAUGCAGCGACGCCGCGUGAGGGAUGACGGCCUUCGGGUUGUAAACCGUCUUUCAGCAGGACGAAGCGCAAGUGACGGUAACUGCAGAAGAAGCACCGGCUAACACGUACAGCAGCCGC
rnacentral:rRNA from 1 species